UACGGGGGAUCCAAGCGUUAUCCGGAUUUAUUGGGUUUAAAGGGUGCGUAGGCGGAACGAUAAGUCAGUGGUGAAAGCCUGCAGCUUAACUGUAGAAUUGCCGUUGAUACUGUUGUUCUUGAGUAUAUUUGAUGUGGGCGGAAUGUGUCAUGUAGCGGUGAAAUGCUUAGAUAUGACACAGAACACCGAUUGCGAAGGCAGCUCACAAAAACUAUAACUGACGCUGAGGCACGAAAGCGUGGGGAUCAAACAGG
rnacentral:rRNA from 1 species